CAACCAGUGGAACAUGUGGUUUAAUUUGAUGCAAACCAAAGAACCUCACCAAGUUUUGACAUGCUAGCGUCCAGUUCUGUGGAAACAUGGAAUGUUCGCAAGAAGGCUAGCACAGGUGCUGCAUGGCUGUCGUCAGCUCGUUCCGUGAGGAGUGCCCUUAAGUGGGACAACGAGCGCAACCCCCAUCUUGUGUUAAAUUUGUCACAAGAAACUGCUCCGCCUUUGGCGGAGAGGAAGGAGGGGCAGACGUCAAGUCAGCAUGGUCCUUAUAACUUGGGCUACACACAUGUUACAAUGAAGGAGACAAAGAGUAUUGCGACACUGUAAAGUGAAGCAAAUCCCUUAAACUCAUUCUCAGUGGGGAUUGGGGUCUGAAACUCGACCCCAUGAACGCGGAAUUGGUAGUAAUCGCAGGUCAGUCACACUGCGGUGAAUACGUUCUUGCCUCUUGCACACACCGCCCGUCAAGCCAACAAAGUCGAGUAUAUCUGAACUCCGAUUUAUCGGGGGAGGAUACAUCCGGCGAUGGGGGUUAAGUCGUAACAAGGUAUCCGUACUGGAAGGUGCGGAUGGAUCACCUCCUUUCU
rnacentral:rRNA from 2 species